UAUCAUAACAAAGAAUUGUACUCACUGGUUAUAGGCUAUUGUCAAUUCAAUCUUUUAAUAAGAACAGAAACUUUUGAUGGAAACUAUUAACAUAACUGAAUGAAACUACUUUACCUUAGGCCAAACACUGGACUUGAACCCGAGAUACCCGCUUGCAUGUUACUUUAUUGCUUUCAAACAGCUGAUUCUUCUGCAACCCGCACUGCAUCUCUUCUGUCCUUAGCAAGAGGUGGAGGGGAAAUCAGAUAGUCAAGAGUUCUGGGGCAGAAUCAAGUAUCGGCUUUGAGGCGAGGUCUAGGUCAACUAUUUCACUUGCACCGAGUCAAACAGCAAAGGAAUGCUUCUUUCGAGCACAGAGUCAACGAAGAAUUCCAAGAAGAGAUUGAACUCACCCGCUUCUCAGGAGUCCUUGGUUAAGUAUCAAGUCAUGAAGGGAAAGAAAGAGCCUAAUAUUAGAGGAGUAGCGAUAAAGUAGAUGUCUUCUUAUUAGUUGUGGUUUAAUACUGAAAUAGAAGAAUGAUCCAUAGGGGGCGGAUAUCUAAGUGGCACAGGACCUGGUAGUAGCAGCCCAGUAGUAGUUUCUAAGGUAUUAAUUCUCAGACGUCUAUAAGAUCUAGUAGUAUUAGAAGAUCUAGUAGUAUUGUAUUGGCGAAAGUAGUAGUUAUAGUAGUAGCAAGAGUAGAGGGAUAGAAGAACUUGUUACUCAUUUAUUUGACUCACAGCAGGAAGUUUCAGUAACAGCUAAAAUGAAGCUCUUCGGCAGAUUGGUAAUAGGUCAUAUAAUUAACUAAGUAGUAAAUUCAGAAUUAGAAACCACUCCAGGACUUGCUUGAGACUAGUAAUAACUAUACUAAAUGCAUUAUUGAUAUUAUAUAAGAGAGCUGAAAGGGGACUGCCGCUACACAUUAGUAGUGUAUUGACCGGUAUUCCACUCUUAAUCCGGGAAAAGUAGAUAGUCAGGAACAAGUGCUCGCGUAAAAUCAUAUCUAAGCGCUCUGACUCUAAAGAAAGAAAUGGAAAUCACAAUAUUAUUACUUAUGUCACUUAUGUAACCUAGCCUCCUCACGGUCAUAAAAGGAAAGUACACAUUUUUGGAAGCGUACAGAAUGAUUUGCCAGGUAUUAUAGAUGGGCCAGUGUUCUUACCAUUCCGCUAAUGGGGCAAUGCACUAUGAAAUUCCAUUCUUAAUAUCAGAUACUACAUUCAUAGCUACCGCACAACCAAUUACUUAAGUAAGGGCAGGACCACUUGAAUUACAUAUCGGCAGGCAACUACUAGACAAGCGUAGAAACGAAAACCACUACUUUUGACAGGGCUCCGUUAGCGCAACUAACAACUAAGCUUGGCCCGGAGAGUCCUAAUUGAGUCUGUUUCCUACCUUUGGCUAAUGAUUCUGUUUCAAACAAGGCUAUGUUG
rnacentral:lncRNA from 1 species